AUUGAACGCUGGCGGAAUGCUUUACACAUGCAAGUCGAGCGGCAGCGCGGGGGCAACCCUGGCGGCGAGCGGCGAACGGGUGAGUAACAUAUCGGAACGUACCCCGUCGUGGGGGAUAACACAGCGAAAGCUGUGCUAAUACCGCAUACGACCUGAGGGUGAAAGCGGGGGAUCGCAAGACCUCGCGCGAUGGGAGCGGCCGAUAUCGGAUUAGCUUGUUGGUGAGGUAAAGGCUCACCAAGGCGACGAUCCGUAGCUGGUCUGAGAGGACGACCAGCCACACUGGAACUGAGACACGGUCCAGACUCCUACGGGAGGCAGCAGUGGGGAAUUUUGGACAAUGGGGGGCAACCCUGAUCCAGCCAUUCCGCGUGAGUGAAGAAGGCCUCGGUUGGUUAAAGACGUCUUUCUAGCAGG
rnacentral:rRNA from 1 species